GCAAUAUAAAGUAAACUAUUCGCCACUCACACUGCUCGUCAGCAUAUUUACUCUCAAUUGCUUCCUUCUCAAGAAGAUUUGAAUCAAUCAGUACACGAUGGCCCUAAAUGUGGAAGCUAAAGGCGGAAAUGGAGGGAAACAAUGGGAUGAUGGAUUCAAUUAUGAGUGUGUAACAAAGUUACAUGUACGAGGUGGUCGUGAAGGCAUUCAGUUCAUAAAGUUUGAGUAUGUCAAAGCUGGAGAAACAACAGUUGGACUAAUCCAUGGUGUCUCGGAUCGUUGUGGUCUGACACAGACGUUCGAGAUUAACCAUUUGGAAAAGGAACAUCUGAUAUCUGUAGGGGUUACUGCAAUGAAUCGACUGGUGUGACACAUUCGCUUCAGGGUAUCAUGGGCUAUCCUGGCUCUACAUAAGUGGUUGUCACGUCCUCAGUCUCUGACAAUGCCGAAAUGUUAAUUCUUCUGUGGUCGGAAUUCGAACCCUGGUGGCUUCACCGUAAUGAACUAUUUGCUUUCAAAUUAAUCACCAACAGACCACAAACCAGAGGGUACUAAAUUUUCACUAAGAGCCAAUGGCAAAAAAAUUAUUGGAUUUCAUGGGUUUGCUAAGAAGAAUCGCAACUGUCUUAGAGCAUAUUUCAUUGAGAUAAUUCAUUAGGCUGUCUGUUAGAGUAAUAUUUUUUAGCAUUUCUCUUAAUUCUUCCUUGUGUUUGUCCAUAUCGAUCCUCCCCCCCUCCCCCCCCUUCUUUUUUAAUCUUCCUACUCUAAUUAUAUUUGUCGGUUGUCUAUCGUUAAACCCUUUUAUUUUUUUUCUGAAAUGAUUUCCUAAGUCUUCUAUCGUUAUACACUUGUUAUUUUCUAUUUCUUUUAUUUUCUCGUUUAAUCAUUUUAUUUUUUCUAAUUGCUUAUUAUUUAACUGUUUGUAAUUUUUUAUUUUUUCUUCAAGCUCUUCAUUCUACUGUUUUAGUCGUUCUAAAUCGUUAUCCUGUUUUUCUUCUAUUUUUUGUAUUUUUUCUAGUACUAUUUUUAUUUGAUCUCCAAGUUUUUCUCUCAUAAUUUUUCAGUUAAUUUAUUAAUGGUUUCUGUUAGUUUUUUUACUGUUAUUAAUACGUCAUCCAAUUCUUGUAAUUUGUCAAGUUUAUCUAGUAUUUCUAUAACUUUUUUUUAUUUCAGAAAUAUUUUUUGCAUUUCUUCAACAUGUUUAGUUGACUCUAUAAUUUUAUCUAGUUUUUUUUGCACUAUUCUAUUUAUUUAAUUUGGUUUAUUGAUAUGUUACUAAUUAUUUCGGUUUGGUUGACUAGUAUUCCACAUAUUAUUCUCAUCGAAUGACAAAUUUUAUGAUCUUCUUUUAUGUUUGCUCCCAUCGUAUAUUCAGUGUUUUCCAUCAUAUUUCUUUCUAAUGGUAUAAUUUUUUCUUUAUAGGGUAUUCCCGGUAUAGAGUAUAACUCGGGGUGAUAUUCGAUAGUUUGAUCUAUAAAUUCAUCCGUUUUUAUAAAUUUAUCAGUUUUUAUAUUAUUUUGAUUUCUUCAAUUUUUUUGGUUUUUAGCUUUCCUCCCGCUUCUAAGUAUUCUAAUGCUCGUCCUUUAUUCUUAUUUAUAACUGCACAUAAUAAUUUUAUAUGCUCUCGUUUCUGUUCAUAAGUUUUUCAAUUUUAUUACUAUCUUUAUCAGAGUUUGAUGGCUCUGAUACCAAUUUUUCUUACUAAUUUUCAUCAAUUUUUUCUUACAAUCUUGACUCUGUUUUUUCCAUAGUUUAUUAUCUAAUGUUAUUAUAGAUCGAUCUAAUUUAUUUAAUUUAUGAUUAAUUUGUUGUAACUCAUAUGAACUACUAAUUAAUUUUCUUCUUUCGUUGUAGGUUCUGUUUAUAGCUAUUCUUAAUCUAGUAAAGCUAGGCUCAAAAAUUUUAACUGUGGAGUAUAUGUCAUAUUUAUUUGAUCACUUAUAUUUUUAUUUGGUAUAAACCUUACAAUAGUUGUUUCUUUAAACAAGUUUUCAAGAUAUAUAUCAUUCUUGUUUGCAAAUUCGAUACUCUGUGCAGAUGAUGAUAAGGCGUAUCCAACAACAUGCGUAAUUGAUAGCGAAUGAUCUCCGUCUUCCAUAAGAUCAUGUCUUUGGAAAUCGUAGAUAAUUUCGAUUGAAUUGUUAAGGUUUUUUUGUUGUAAAUGAGAUAUCGUAUUGACAAACUACGUUAAAUUUAACAACUGAGUGUUUUAAAUUGCUACAUACUAUUCCGAUUAUUUUAUCGUUUUCGUCCUGAAUUCUAUUGUCGGUUACCACUAAUCUAAUUGGGGAAUCGAUAUUCCUUUUAAAUGUUGACCUUACUAUUAUUUGAAUUGUUCCUAUGUGUAUAUGAGAUAUUUUUUCUUGAUGAGUCAAUUUCAUUUUA